AUUUUCUGCUGUGUUUCUUAGAUAUUUCUGUUGUAUUUGUUGUGUAAAUGCGUGGGUGUUUUAUCUUAUCUUUCGUAUGACUGAUUUGUGUGACUUUAACUCAGAAUUUUAAUGUAUCCCGUCUACAAUUCGGGUAAGAUUUACUUUUAUUAUUAACAAAUUUAAAAUCACAUGCCAAAAUUAUACCAAAUUAUUCUAUUAGAUAAGAAACGCAAACUUCUAAUUAAAUAUAAUCAAAAUUAUAUUAUUAUAUAUAUGUUAGCUUACGUCAUCACCUUCACCGAUGGACCGAUGCGACGUGCUCACAUCUAUUUAGACUAGUUUUGUUUUAUAAGCAAAUCUGAAGUAUUUGUUUACAUUUAAUAUUCGGGGCAGUUCUUAAGAAAGAACCAGGCAGUCAAGCUUUAGAUGUCGAGGGUUAAAGUACGUUUGUUGUAAUAAAGCGUAUUAUUGUGAAUUUAGUGUUUUAAUCAAACUAAAAAGACAGAUUAACAGUCGCUAAUCUAUCAUCAGAAGUGGGAUAAAGGAUAUCUUCUCGUGAAUUAUUUCCGGAAGAAAGGACCUAAAAAAAAUAUUUUUUUUUUUUUUUUGUGUUUCUUUGUGAACGAACAAACAAUAGUGAAAAACACAAACGCGCAGUGAGUCCGAACGUUGUGAACAUUACCGAAAGUGCAUCGGAGAGAGACUAGCAGCAAGAAAGUAACAACAGAUUCCAAAAACAAAACAUGGAAAUUUUAUCGACAAUGGCCAACGCCCAAACUACUCAAGCAACAUUGAAGAUGACUGCGCAGAAGGUUUAAGUGUGGCUGCAGCGCAGUUUCGACUUGUAAGAUUUAGAAAUUGCAUUUGAGGAAUAUGAUUUGAAUUUGUCAGGAAUGGACGAGUGGGUUACGAAAGAAAUAAAAGAACAACCGAAUGCCGUUUGAUCUCAUAAACUCUUCAUCAAAUUAUCAGAGCGCCAUCGUUAAAGCCCUUGGACCACUUAAAGACGAUAUUACGUUUGUUUAUGUUGAUGAUGUGUUGUGCCCUGCUCGACCCAUUCAAGAAUGUCUUAAGAACUUAAGAAAGGACAUUGACGCCCUUAAAUAUGCAAAAAUACAUCUUGUGAAAAACUUUACAACUUUAACAGCACCGAUAUCUGCAUUGUUACGUGAGGGAAAAUCUUUUGAAUGGACAUGUAAAUGUGAAAAUGUACGAUUGACUUCUUAUCCGAUUUUCAACAUUUUUGAUCUGGAAUUGUCAACCGAACUACAUACAGAAGCAAGUUCGUUAGGAUUAGAUGUCGCUAUUAGCUGUCGAAUAGAGGAAAGUUGAAACCAAAGUAUCACGGACCCUUUGAGGUAACGCAUUGUUUACCUAAUGAGAGGUACGCACUCCGAAGGAUUGGCAGCCGAGGUAGAACUACAAUAGCAGCGCAUGAACAGUUACGAACCUGGCCAGAUACAGAAAUUCUAUAAGGUAUGAUGGAUAUAGAUUUAUUUAAUAAGAUUGUGAAUGUGUGUAAAGGUCCCUGCUUAGUAGGCUGUUUAAGGUCCCUGUGUAUCAGGCUAUAUGUGAAGGUCCCUGCUUAGUAGGCUAUGAUUAAGGUCCCUGCUCGGCAGGCUAUUUUUAAGGUCCCUGCGUCGCAGGCUAUGUUUGAGGUCCCUACUUUGCAGGCUAUGUUUAAGGUCCCUACUUUGCAGGCUAUGUUUAAAGGUCCCUGCUCGGCAGGCUAUUUUUAAGGUCCCUGCUCUGCAGGCUUAGAUUGUUGUGUUCUGGGUCUGUGAGACAAGCGGGUAAUAGACCUGGUAGUGGUUGAACCGCCUCUGAGCUCCUGGCUAGAAUAUGGUAUCUUUUGAUAGCACUUGAGAGACAUGGGUGUAACAGACCUGUUGAUGGUUGAGCCGCCUCUGUGCUUCUAGUGGUUGUUAACUGUGCCACAUAACAGUCUAUUUUGUUAAAUGAAAUAAGGUUUAGACUUAGUUCUUCGAAUAUAUUUU